GGCUGGUUGGAAGGCUGGUUAAACCGUUUGGUUUACGACCACUACGACCCGGGUUCGAUCCCCGCAUUGGACA